UCCGUAGUAGCUCAGUGGUAGAGCAAUCGGCUGUUAACCGAUUGGUCGUAGGUUCGAGUCCUACCUCCGGAG
rnacentral:tRNA from 2 species